rnacentral:rRNA from 1 species
UACCUACGGGGGGCAGCAGUGGGGAAUAUUGCACAAUGGGGGAAACCCUGAUGCAGCGACGCCGCGUGAAGGACGAAGUAUUUCGGUACGUAAACUUCUAUCAGCAGGGAAGAAAAUGACGGUACCUGACCAAGAAGCCCCGGCUAACUACGUGCCAGCAGCCGCGGUAAUACGUAGGGGGCAAGCGUUAUCCGGAUUUACUGGGUGUAAAGGGAGCGUAGACGGCUGUGCAAGUCUGAAGUGAAAUGCCGGGGCCCAACCCCGGAACUGCUUUGGAAACUGUACAGCUAGAGUGCAGGAGGGGU